ACCCUAGCAGGGCAAGGUGCCAAUAUCUCCUCUCUUAAUGAAAGACCCCAGUGGGGAGACCCCCACUCAAGUCCCGAGAUGGAGCGUACACCCAAGGAAUCACAAGAGACC
rnacentral:miRNA from 7 species